rnacentral:rRNA from 1 species
UACGUAGGGUGCAAGCGUUGUCCGGAAUUAUUGGGCGUAAAGAGCUUGUAGGCGGUUUGUCGCGUCUGCUGUGAAAUUUCGGGGCUCAACCCCGAACUUGCAGUGGGUACGGGCAGACUAGAGUGUGGUAGGGGAGACUGGAAUUCCAGGUGUAGCGGUGAAAUGCGUAGAUAUCUGGAGGAAUACCGGUGGCGAAGGCGGCAUCCUGGACCGAGAUUGACGCUGAUGAGCGAAAGCUAGGGGAGCAAACGGG